rnacentral:rRNA from 1 species
GUAUGUACCUUAUGAAUAAGGAUCGGCUAACUCCGUGCCAGCAGCCGCGGUAAUACGGAGGAUCCGAGCGUUAUCCGGAUUUAUUGGGUUUAAAGGGUGCGUAGGCGGCCUUUUAAGUCAGCGGUGAAAGUCUGUGGCUCAACCAUAGAAUUGCCGUUGAAACUGGGGGGCUUGAGUAUGUUUGAGGCAGGCGGAAUGCGUGGUGUAGCGGUGAAAUGCUUAGAUAUCACGCAGAACCCCGAUUGCGAAGGCAGCCUGCCAAGCCAUGACUGACGCUGAUGCACGAAAGCGUGGGGAUCAAACAGGAUUAGAUACCCUGGUAGUCCACGCAGUAAACGAUGAUCACUAGCUGUUUGCGAUACAGUGUAA